CGACAACGCAUGUGUUUGAAUGGCAGGAAAUGACCUAAGACACCAUUCCAGUGGGCCGUUUAAACCCAAUGUAAAGGAGAGCAGACGAGAGGACAAUCCUGCCAGGAUAGGUGGAGCCAGAAUUGCUCCUUUUUGUUUUUGUUUUACGUCAUAAUGGAGGAGACGGUGAUAUACCUCAGGCUUAGCCAAGACCGAGGCCAGGUAAGUUACACUGGUUUGCUGCAUCCUUUGUCGGAUUACAACUUUAAAUGAAGGACUUGGCUUGGAGCUUACUUGAAUAAUACCAGACCCCUGUACUGCAGGAUAAAGCUGAAUGUGCCAGCGCUGGACAGGUUUUUAAUGGUUUUGGGCUGAGCAGGGAGGCCCUGACAGUGCUGCUGGAUCUUCGGAGAAGGGCCCCAAUCCAGACCCUGGUGUUUCUCUUCUGUCUGCUAGUGGUACAUCAUACAGAGUGGUCUCUAGAGAGUUUGACAUGUGCCUCGUUCCACUGUCACCGCUUUAUCCUCCGAGUCGCUGAGGAGGUGCUGGCCAUUCACCAAGAGAUUCACCUCCUGAAGACCCCAGAACACAAGCAGGGCUGGGCUCAAAACUGAUGUUGUUUUUGUGAUGUUAAACCUAAGCUAUGUUGUAAAUAGUUGUAAAAAGUACUUUCAGUAAUGUAUUGAACUUUUUUUUUAUGUGUAAAAAAUUUAUUUACAGGACACAAAAUAAACGUAUGGAAAAAUGUUUUGUAAGCUGCAUUAAAAAAUGAAAAUUGUACAUAAUUACUUCCCUUUUAUUUACACUUGUGAAUAUGCAAAACAAAGAUAAAAAAAUGUACAGAAAGUAGUCAUUUACAAAAAAAUUACAAAAAUGAAUAAUGUAUACAGCUUAUUCCGGUUCUGUAAUCAGUGGUAAAUUUCUACACAUGCAUGCUUUCACGUGGAGAAGCAUUUACUACAAUAAUAAGUUGUUGUUCACUGAUCGAUCACAUUUUGCGUAUGUUUUGCGCUGCUUGUCAGUGGGCUCUGUGUAGUAAAUAUUGUGCUG
ensembl:lncRNA